rnacentral:RNase_P_RNA from 1 species
GGAGUGGGCCGGAUGGUCGCUGGCUGGAAUUCCACAGGGUCGCCAUAUCGGCCCACAAAGGGUUCCGGCGAGAGGAAAGUCCGGGCUCCGUAGGGUACGAUGAUGGGUAACGCCCACCGGUCGCGAGGCCAGGGAAAGUGCAACAGAAAGCAAACCGCCUUGCGGGCUCGACGCCCGCCAGGUAAGGGUGAAACGGUGAGGUAAGAGCUCACCAGCAGACCGGGUGACCGGUCUGGCUAGGCAAACCCCAUCGGGAGCAAGGUCAAACAGGGAGCUGUGGAUACGCUGGGUCGCUCAAUCGACCCAGACGUUCCCGCGGGCUGGCCCGGUCCGCCGUCGACUCCCGGGUAGACCGCUUGAGGAGUCGAGUAAUCGGCUUCCUAGAGAAAUGGCCAUCGCCCGUCCAACGACUGUUGGACGGGCACAGAACCCGGCUUACAGGCUCACUCCGAAC